rnacentral:lncRNA from 1 species
AGAGUAAAAAUGUCAUUUUCGGAAAAAAAAAAAAAUUGAUGGCAUUUUCGUAAAUUAUAUGAACUUGUGGGGUGAAUAGGGCAAAACCAAUUUUCAAAAAAAAAAAGAGGUUAGUUUUAUGUUUGACUUUAAGUUGUAGGUCAAUUUUGCAAAAAUCCCAAAUUUGCAUUCUUUCUUUAAAUAAAAACUACGAAGUUACCUAAUAUAAUUAACAUAUAUAUGGUAAUUAAUGAUUAUGAAUAAUAAAGAUUUGAUAAUAAUUUUUGCAUUCUUCCUCAUUUUUUGUAUAAUAUUAUAUUAUUAAUAAAAUUAAACAAUCACAUUAACCAUAUAAUAAA